rnacentral:rRNA from 1 species
CAGCCGGGUAAUUCCAGCUCCAAUAGCGUAUAUUAAAGUUGUUGCAGUUAAAAAGCUCGUAGUUGAAUUUCGGGGUUAGCAGGUCGGUCGUGCCAUCGGUAUGAACUGGUCUCGCUGAUCCCUCCCUCUUGACGAACUGUGAUGCCAUUAAUUUGGUGUCGCAGGGAAUCAGGACUGUUACUUUGAAAAAAUUAGAGUGUUUAAAGCAGGCUCACGCUUGAAUACAUUAGCAUGGAAUAAUGAAAUAGGACGUUUGAUCCUAUUUUGUUGGCUUCUAGGAUUGACGUAAUGAUUAAUAGGGAUAGUUGGGGGCAUUAGUAUUCAAUUGUCAGAGGUGAAAUUCUUGGAUUUAUUGAAGACUAACUACUGCGAAAGCAUUUGCCAAGGAUGUUUUCAUUAAUCAAGAACGAAAGUUAGGGGAUCGAAGACGAUCAGAUACCGUCGUAGUCUUAACCAUAAACUAUGCCGACUAGGGAUCGGAUGAUGUUAAUUUUUUAAUGACUCAUUCGGCGCCUUACG